AUGCAGGUAUUGUUACAAUAUAACUGAAGUGUUUUAUUAUCAUUCUUUCUGCUUAAAGCAUUUGAUGUAUAACUAUUUCUAACUCCAUUCCAUAGUAAGACAGAGAUGCUUAGUCUUAAACAU
ensembl:snoRNA SNORA63 Small nucleolar RNA SNORA63